rnacentral:rRNA from 1 species
ACGUAGGUGGCAAGCGUUGUCCGGAUUUACUGGGCGUAAAGAGCGCGCAGGCGGUCGUUCAAGUCGCGUGUGAAAGCCCCCGGCUCAACUGGGGAGGGUCACGCGAUACUGAUCGACUCGAAGGCAGGAGAGGGUAGUGGAAUUCCCGGUGUAGUGGUGAAAUGCGUAGAUAUCGGGAGGAACACCAGUGGCGAAGGCGACUACCUGGCCUGUUCUUGACGCUGAGGCGCGAAAGCUAGGGGAGCAAACGGGA